GACGAACGCUGGCGGCGUGCUUAACACAUGCAAGUCGUACGGUAAGGCCCUUUCGGGGGUACACGAGUGGCGCACGGGUGAGUAACACGUGAGUAACCUGCCCACAACUUUGGGAUAACGCUAGGAAACUGGUGCUAAUACUGGAUAUGUGCUCCUGCUGCAUGGUGGGGUUGGAAAGCUCCGGCGGUUGUGGAUGGACUCGCGGCCUAUCAGCUUGUUGGUGGGGUAGUGGCCUACCAAGGCGGCGACGGGUAGCCGGCCUGAGAGGGUGACCGGCCACAGUGGGACUGAGAUACGGCCCAGACUCCUACGGGAGGCAGCAGUGGGGAAUAUUGCACAAUGGGCGCAAGCCUGAUGCAGCAACGCCGCGUGCGGGAUGACGGCCUUCGGGUUGUAAACCGCUUUCAGCAGGGACGAAGCUUUUUGUGACGGUACCUGCAGAAGAAGCACCGGCUAACUACGUG
rnacentral:rRNA from 1 species